rnacentral:rRNA from 1 species
UACGGAGGGGGCUAGCGUUAUUCGGAAUUAUUGGGCGUAAAGGGCGCGUAGGCGGCCCGGUAAGUCAAAGGUGAAAUCCCUCGGCUCAACUGAGGAACUGCCUUUGAAACUGUCGGGCUUGAGGCCGGGAGGGGGUAGCGGAAUUCCCAGUGUAGCGGUGAAAUGCGUAGAUAUUGGGAGGAACACCGGUGGCGAAGGCGGCUACCUGGACCGGUUCUGACGCUGAUGCGCGAAAGCGUGGGUAGCAACAGG